GGGUUAAUUUCAUACGGAUCACUGUAAAAAUAGUGAAUUACAAGUAUAUUUCAAUAAAAUUCAACGUCUAUAUAUUAUUCCGGUAAAAGUUCUAAUAUUUUCAAAUAGGAACAAUUGCUUAUAUACUCCUGAAAAGUUCCCGACUUUUCGAUUUAUCUCUCUUAGAAGGCUAAUAUUGAAAAUAUCAUCUUUACGUUCCAACCUAUUUCUAAUAUACCUUAAGUUAAAAUCUGUUAAUUAACUAUGUAAAAUUAUUAUUUUGUCCUUUCAAAUAUACCCCUCUAUCGUUACCAAUAUUUCUUAUUUGCCCUUAAGUUAACGGCAAAAUUGACAAUUUAAAUUUUUUUUAACUGUGGUCGAUAUUUAACUCACGUUUAACCCAAGUUAACUUAACAGAAGAUAACCGCGGGAGUAUUUUGCAAUAACGGUGGAACGUAUAAGGGGUAUUUUAGAAAGAUAAAAAAAGUAAAGAUAAAUCGGAUAUUUUCAAAUGUAUGAAGGAUAUAUAAACAAUUAUCCCUUCAAAUAUAUCACUGUCGUUAUAAUUCAUUAGAAAAUUUUAGUUAAUUGUAUUAGGUGAAAAGGAUUUUGAGCACAUAGAGACAGAGCCCAUGCUUCUUUGUUUUUUCGUGGGACAUAAAAUAUAGGGUGGAUUUUAUAUAAAUCCUUGCAAACAUAAUGAAUGACAAAUAUAUCCCUCAAAAGUUUAACUUUCAUAUGUUAUCUCUGCAAAAGUCUUGAUGUUUUCAAAUAUAUCUCUCUAAUCUGUCACCGUUGGAGAAUCGAUAGAGAAUUGUUUAUUUUUUCAAUGUUGCCAUCAUAAAUAUGUCUCUCCAAACAUCAUAACAGUAUAAUAUAAAAGGAUAAAAAUAUCAAAAACUAACUAAGGGUAAUUAACUAAAAUUUUCUAACAGAUUCUAAUGUUAGGGACAUAUUUAAAAACAUCAGGACUUUUAUAUGAACAAUAUUUGAAAGUUGAAUUUUGUAAAAAUAUAUUUGUCAUUCACUAUAUUUGUAGAAACAUGUAUAAAAUUAAUCAUAAAAUAUAUAUUUUAAGUUAUCAAUUAUCAUUGAGAUAUAAGUUAUAUUAU
rnacentral:lncRNA from 1 species